UACGUAGGGUGCGAGCGUUGUCCGGAAUUACUGGGCGUAAAGAGCUCGUAGGUGGUUUGUCGCGUUGUCCGUGAAAACUCACAACUCAAUUGUGGGCGUGCGGGCGAUACGGGCAGACUGGAGUACUGCAGGGGAGACUGGAAUUCCGGGUGUAGCGGUGGAAUGCGUAGAGAUCCGGAGGAAGACCGGUGGCGAAGGCGGUCUGCUGGGCAGUUUCUGACACUGAGGCGCGACAGCGUGGGGAGCAAACAGG
rnacentral:rRNA from 1 species